rnacentral:rRNA from 1 species
CUGCAUGGCUGUCGUCAGCUCGUGCGUGAGAUGUUGGGUUAAGUCCGUAACGAGCGCAACCCUUGUCCUUAGUUACCAGCACGUUAUGGUGGGCGACUCUAAGGAGACUGCCGGUGGACAAACCGGAGGAAGGUGGGGAUGACGUCAAGUCAUCAUGGCCCUUACGGCCUGGGCUACACACGUGCUACAAUGGUCGGUACAAAGGGUUGCCAAGCCGCGAGGUGGAGCUAAUCCCAUAAAACCGAUCGUAGUCCGGAUCGCAGUCUGCAACUCGACUGCGUGAAGUCGGAAUCGCUAGUAAUCGUGAAUCAGAAUGUCACGGUGAAUACGUUCCCGGGCCUU